CAGAUUCAGUCACCCUGGCCACAAGGGCACGAGGCCUGCCCUGGGCGCCGGCUGCCACCGCCUUUGCUGCCAGUGUGGCAGGGCCGCUUGUCAGGCACUCAGCCCCCGGGCCCUGACUUCUGGUCCUCCCCAGGGGACUGUCCCUGGUCAGGCCUCUUCCUGUCCCAGGCUGCCUCUGAGGCUGCGCUGUGGCCCCACAGACUGGGUGCGGAGCAGGGGUGGGGUAGUGGGGAGGCUGAGGGUUGGGCUGGGGGAUGCGUCUGUGACCGCCGCCCCCUCCGGCCCCUCCAGGACAGAGGGAGGCUACUGAGUCGGCUGGUGCUGGUCAGCAGGAAGAGCAGGAGUGCCUGCCUGCGUGCCUCGCUUCGAGCCUCCCCUGUCCCUGGCCAGCUCAACAGCGUCUCCUUACAUUCCCAUUCGGCCCUGGGGACCACUGGGAACACAACCAAACACAGCCUGCUCCCGUGUGGCUGUCAGUCAGUCGGGCGUCGAGGCCUGCUCCUCACUCCAGCUGGUGUACCCCUCCAGGACGCAUGCCUCGCGCAGAGCCUGCGGGAAGCCUUCAAAGAGGCCGCGCCUUCCUGGCUGCUCCCUUCGCAUCCUGAUCCAGUCCAAUGAUGUUUUUGCAAUUUUCCUGUCAGCUUGGUGGGAAAAGUUCAAAGAGACUCUGUCUUCCUUUCUGGCUUCCUUUCCAGACGGCGCAGCUUUCUCUCAGCUGCUCCCCUGCCCCACCUUUCUCGAGGAAAUCAGUCUCUUUCCUCUCCCCCUCACCCAAAAGGUCCAUUCCUGAAUGUUCUCCUGAAAUCAAGCCGAGGCGGGGCGGUGGGGGAUCUGAGGCACAAGGUAGGUCGGAAGUCGGCCAACCACCUGGCUUGGGGCCUCCCUGCCAGUGCCACCUGUGGAGGCCGACUGUUCGGAGGAUCGGGAGGGAGACAGGGAAAAAGAGAGCUCCUGGGGUUGGAAGAGCAUUAGCACCUCUCGUUAGGGCUCCCACAGUACCCCAUCGGAAAGAAGGUGAUGGAUCUUUCAUAACCUGUUUCUCCUGGAAACGCUUCCUAGUGGCCAGGGACAAACAGGAACGUGUCCCCUCUGUGGCCUUUCUGUUGAAGAAGCGUAGCUGUCAGUGCUAUUCCCUGGGAAGAGCCUGGCAUCCCAGGGGUCUCGGAAGGGGCCUCAGAGUUCAGAAUGUGUGACAGUCACUCCCAGCCAAUACCAUCACUCUCCCAAAUCAGGAGUUUCCAGUUCUCCCAAGGCAUCCACUGUACCCUGAAGCCCUAGUGAAGGGCUCGGGGAGUGCUCAUGCCCCAUUAUCAUUACUUCUCCGUCCGCUCCUCCAUCCCUCUUUCCUCCUCUAUUAAAAGGGAUCCACAGGAUUUGAGAGUAGAGGAGGCUUGCCUGCUGCCUCCACCCACUGGAGGAGAGCCUGCCAGGCCCAGGGACAGCCCAAGGCUCCAUGCCUUCCCUUUUUCUUUGCAGCAAUGGGGUCUCAUUAUGUUGCCUAGACUGGUCUCAAGCUCCUGGAUUCGAGCAAUCCUCCCACCUUGGCCUCUGUGCUUUGGAAUUAGAGGUGUGAGCCGCCACGCCUGGUCCCGGGCCUUCCCUUUCGAGGUCAGCACUGAAGGCAGCCAGAAACCAACCGUGCACCACCCCAGACCCGAGAAACAAGUCGAAAUAGAAUGAAUACACAGGGGCUUAGAGACGUGCUGCGACUGAGGGGAGUGCCAAGUGAGAAAUGGAAAAGACCAGGAGAGUGGCGAACGGCCUCAUGCUCACUUGGCUUCACUCAUGCAGAUGGGCUGCGGGAGCAAGAUGGAAGUCCUGACUGACGAUCCACACUCUGGGUCUUCAGGGAAGUGUCAACCUCAGAGCUGUGGUCAGUGCAUGGAGCCAGCUACCUGUUGGGAAACAAAAACUUAAGUGGCUUUUGAAGGUACAUGCUGAAGACAGCAGAGUGACAAGCUAGAUGGAACCUGGAUCCUAAAUCACCACAUUGAAGGCCACCCACCAAAUACUCAACAUUGAACAGCUCUGUGAGUGAGAAAUAAACUUUUAUUGUGUGAAGUCUUUGAGAUUUGGGGCCUUAUCUAUUAUAGCAAUUCGUGUUGCUUACUAUGACCCAGAAAUUACACUUCUAGGAAUGUUUCCUAAAGAAAUAAUCAGAGAGGCAAAGACUGAUAGAAUCUAAGAACAAUGGACAAAACCCGAAACAGCUAUAAUCACAAUGAAUGCUGCAAAGGCCUCUGAAACAUGGGAAUGGAAAGCGAACAGCAGAGGAUGGAAAAUAAAUUACACAAUUACUCAGCAGUACAAAUACAGUAUUUGUGACGGGAAUUAAGAAGAACAACAGUUGAGAAGAAAAUGAAAAACUGAUCAGCAAGCCUGGUGUUUAAUAAGUGUAUACACUGACCCAUUUGCACAAACAUUUUGGAAUAGAUUGGUGAAUGGAUCCUGGCAUGGAAAUACUUUGUUAAUUGUGAUCAGAAGGUUAUCAACUCUUUUUCUCUAAGAAAUUCUUUGACAUAUGA